UAUUUCCGGGUAGGAUAGAAUGCUAGUCGAGUGGCUCAGCCAAUACGAGCCACGGCAUACAGCUCAGUAACACGUGGCUAAUCUGCCCUUAGGACGAGAACAACCCCGGGAAACUGGGGCUAACUCUCGAUAGGCGAAGAACUCUGGAAUGAGUCUUCACCCAAAUAGUUCAGCGUUACGCUCGUUGGACCGCCUAAGGAUGAGGCCGCGACCGAUCAGGUUGUUGGUGAGGUAAUAGCUCACCAAGCCUUUUACCGGUGCGGGCCGUGAGAGCGGGAGCCCGGAGAUGGGCACUGAGACAAGGGCCCAGGCCCUACGGGGCGCAGCAGUCGCGAAAACUUUGCAAUACACGAAAGUGUGACAGGGCUAUCCCGAGUGCCAUCCGCUGAGGAAGGCUUUUACCCAGUCUAGAAAGCUGGGGGAAUAAGGAGAGGGCAAGUCUGGUGUCAGCCGCCGCGGUAAUACCAGCUCUCCGAGUGGUGUGGAUGUUUAUUGGGCCUAAAGCAUCCGUAGCUGGCUAAGUUAGUCCCUUGUUAAAUCCACCGAAUUAAUCGUUGGAUUGCGGGGGAUACUGCUUGGCUAGGGGACGAGAGAGGCAGACGGUAUUUCCGGGGUAGGGGUGAAAUCCUAUAAUCCCGGGAAGACCACCAGUGGCGAAGGCUGUCUGCUAGAACGCGCCCGACGGUGAGGGAUGAAAGCUGGGGGAGCGAACCGGAUUAGAUACCCGGGUAGUCCCAGCUGUAAACGAUGCAGGCUAGGUGUUUGGACGGCCACGUGCCGUUCUAGUGCCGCAGGGAAGCUGUUAAGCCUGCCGCCUGGGGAGUACGAUCGCAAGAUUGAAACUUAAAGGAAUUGGCGGGGGAGCACCACAAGGGGUGAAGCUUGCGGUUUAAUUGGAGUCAACGCCGGG
rnacentral:rRNA from 1 species